rnacentral:rRNA from 1 species
GUGGGGAAUAUUGGGCAAUGGGCGAAAGCCUGACCCAGCGACGCCGCGUGAGGGAAGAAGGUCUUCGGAUUGUAAACCUUUGUCAACAGGGACGAAGAAAGUGACGGUACCUGUGGAGGAAGCCACGGCUAACUACGUGCCAGCAGCCGCGGUAAUACGUAGGUGGCGAGCGUUAUCCGGAUUUACUGGGUGUAAAGGGUGAGUAGGCGGGAAGUCAAGUCAGAUGUGAAAUGCCGCGGCUUAACUGCGGAACUGCAUUUGAAACUGAUUUUCUUGAGAGUCGGAGAGGCAAUCGGAAUUCCUAGUGUAGCGGUGAAAUGCGUAGAUAUUAGGAGGAACACCAGUGGCGAAGGCGGAUUGCUGGACGACAACUGACGCUGAGACACGAAAGCGUGGGGAGCAAACAGGA